rnacentral:rRNA from 1 species
UGGGGAAUUUUGGACAAUGGGCGCAAGCCUGAUCCAGCAAUGCCGCGUGCAGGAUGAAGGCCUUCGGGUUGUAAACUGCUUUUGUACGGAACGAAACGGCUCUGUCUAAUACAUGGGGCUAAUGACGGUACCGUAAGAAUAAGCACCGGCUAACUACGUGCCAGCAGCCGCGGUAAUACGUAGGGUGCAAGCGUUAAUCGGAAUUACUGGGCGUAAAGCGUGCGCAGGCGGUGAUGUAAGACAGGCGUGAAAUCCCCGGGCUCAACCUGGGAACUGCGCUUGUGACUGCUAAGCUAGAGUACGGCAGAGGGGGGUGGAAUUCCACGUGUAGCAGUGAAAUGCGUAGAGAUGUGGAGGAACACCAAUGGCGAAGGCAGCCCCCUGGGUCGAUACUGACGCUCAUGCACGAAAGCGUGGGGAGCAAACA